rnacentral:sRNA from 1 species
CUAGAUUAUAUGAUUCUUGAAGAAAAUCGUGCUUGAGUUUUAGAUAUGAGGGAGUCAUAUUUUCAAAAACAAAAACAGAAAAGGAAAUGAAUGGGUGAAAAGAAGCAAAUACUCUUUUCAAUAAAACCUUCACAUAAAACAUAUAUACCGUAUAAAUUCUAAAUUCUAACAAAAGGUCCGCUGUAGCACAUUGUCUAAAACAAACAUUCUAGUUUAAUAGUGGAUCAGAAUUCCGGGUUCGAAGCUCGGCAGCGGAAAAAAAAUUUUGGUGCUU